rnacentral:rRNA from 1 species
GAGACCUCAGCUCAGUCGUGAUUACCCGCUGAAUUUAAGCAUAUAACUAAGCGGAGGAAAAGAAACUAACGAGGAUUCUCCCAGUAACGGCGAGUGAACGGAGAGAAGCCCAGCGCUGAAUCAUUUGAUCACAAUGAUCAAAUUGAAAUGUAGCGUAUAGGUGUAACUAUCCCAUUGUUUUGUGCACUCAAAGUCCCCUUGAGCGGGGCCACAGUCCACAGAAGGUGCUAGACCUGUACGGGUGACGAAACAGUGAGUUGGUUGCUCCUUGGAGUCGGGUUGCCUGAGAUCGCAGCUCAAAGUGGGUGGUAAACCUCAUCUAAGGCUAAAUAUGGCCACGAGAC